rnacentral:rRNA from 1 species
CCUACGGGAUGCAGCAGUGAGGAAUAUUGGUCAAUGGGAGGAAUCCUGAACCAGCCAUGCCGCGUGCAGGACGACGGCUCUACGAGUUGUAAACUGCUUUUGUACCGGGGUAAAAUUCUCUACGAGUAUGGUUUUGACCGUACGGUACGAAUAAGGAUCGGCUAACUCCGUGCCAGCCGCCGCGGUAAUCCGGAGGAUCCGAGCCUUAUCCGGGUUCGUUGGGGUUAAGGGCGGCGUAGGGUGGUUUAUAAGUUAGCGGUGAAAUACCGAUGCGUAACAUCGGGGCUGCCGCUAAUACUUUAGGACUAGAGAUAGGAUGCAGCAGGCGGAAUGUGAAGUGAAGCGGUGAAAUGCAUAGAUAUUACACAGAACACCGAUUGCGAAGGCAGCUUGCUAGGCCGGAUCUGACACUGAUGCACGAAAGCGUGGGGAGCGAACAGGAUUAGAUACCCUGGUAGUC